rnacentral:rRNA from 1 species
UGAAUACGAGACGCUAAGGCGUCGAAGUAGUGUAUGUCAUACUUCCAAGAAAAGCUUGCACUGUCAUAGAUAAAAAACGCCUGUACCAUAACCGACACAGGUGGGUAGGUAGAGUAUACUAAGGGGCGCGAGAUAACUCUCUCUAAGGAACUCGGCAAAAUAACUCCGUAACUUCGGGAGAAGGAGUGCCUUAUUCGUAAGGUUGCAAUAACAAGAUCCAAGCAACUGUCUAUCAAAAACACAGGUCUCCGCUAAGUCGUAAGACGAUGUAUGGGGGCUGACGCCUGCCCAGUGCCAGAAGGUUAAAGAAGUUGGUUAGCAAUUGCGAAGCUGAUAACUGAAGCCCUGGUGAACGGCGGCCGUAACGAUAACGGUCCUAAGGUAGCGAAAUUCCUUGUCGGGUAAGUUCCGACCCGCACGAAAGGCGUAAUGAUUUGGAUACUGUCUCGGAGAGGGGCUCGGUGAAAUAGACUUGUCUGUGAAGAUGCGGACUACCUGCACCAGGACAGAAAGACCCUAUGAAGCUCUACUGUAACUUGAAAUUGAAAUUGGACUUUAUUCGCGCAGUAUAGGUGGGAGGCGUUGAUUAUAAUCUUGUGGGAUUAUUGGAGCCAUCAGUGAGAUACCACUCUUGUAAUGUUAGAUUUCUAACUUUGAAUCAUUAUCUGGUCAAAGAACAGUUUCAGGCGGGCAGUUUGACUGGGGCGGUCGCCUCCUAAACGGUAACGGAGGCGUACAAAGGUUUCCUCUGAACGGUUAGAAAUCGUAUCUAGAGUGUAAAGGCAUAAGGAAGCUUGACUGUGAGACCUACAAGUCGAGCAGGGACGAAAGUCGGUCUUAGUGAUCUGACGGUACUGAGUGGAAAGGCCGUCACUCAACGGAUAAAAGUUACUCUAAGGAUAACAGGCUGAUCUCCCCCAAGAGUUCACAUCGACGGGGAGGUUUGGCACCUCGAUGUCGGCUCAUCGCAUCCUGGGGCGGUAGUACGUCCCAAGGGUUGGGCUGCUCGCCCAUGAAAGCGGUACGCGAGCUGGGUUCAGAACGUCGUGAGACAGUUCGGUCCAUAUCCGGUGUAGGCGUUAGAAUAUUGAGAGGAGCCUUCUUUAGUACGAGAGGACCGAGAAGGACAUACCUCUGGUGUACCGGUUAUCGUGCCAACGGUAAACGCUGGGUAGCUAUGUAUGGAGUGGAUAACCGCUGAAAGCAUCUAAGUGGGAAGCCCACCUCAAGAUAAGUAUUCUCAGC